GACGAACGCUGGCGGCGUGCUUAACACAUGCAAGUCGAACGGAAAGGCGCGGCUUUUGUGGGGUGCUCGAGUGGCGAACGGGUGAGUAACACGCGAGUAACAUGCCCUUGACUUUGGGAUAACAUCAGGAAACUGGGGCUAAUACCGGAUAGGAGCUCCUGCUGCAUGGUGGGGGUUGGAAAGUUUCGGCGGUUGGGGAUGGACUCGAGGCUUAUCAGCUUGUUGGUGGGGUAGUGGCUGACCAAGGGUUUGACGGGUAGCCGGCCUGGGAGGGUGACCGGGGUCAAUAGUACUGCGAGAGGGCGCAGUCGCCUAUGGGAGGCAGCGGUGGAGAGUAUUGCGCAAUGGGGGCACGCCAGAUAUGGCAGCGUCGCGAUCGUAAUGCCGUGUUACGGGGGGUGAACCGCUGUGGCAGGUGCCGAACAGGGAGUGACGGUAAUUGGUAAAGAAGCAACGGCUAACUACGUG
rnacentral:rRNA from 1 species